AAUCUUGGACAAUGGGGGCAACCCUGAUCCAGCCACGCCGCGUGUGUGAAGAAGGUCUUCGGAUUGUAAAGCACUUUAAGUUGGGAGGAAGGGCUUUAGGUUAAUACCCUGAAGUUUUGAUGUUACCAUCUGAAUAAGCACCGCCCACCUCUGUGCCACCAGCCGCGGUAAUACUGAGGGUGCAAUCGUCAAUCGGAAUUACUGGGCGUACAGCGCGCGUAGGUGGUUCAGUAAGAUAGGUGUAAAGUCCCCGAGCUUAACCUGGGAACUGCUUUCAUAACUGCUGAGCUAGAGUACGGUAGAGGGUAGUGGGAUUUCCUGUGUAGCGGUGAAAUGCAUAGAUAUAGGAAGGAACACCAGUGGCGAAGGCGACUACCUGGACUGAUACUGACACUGAGGUGCGAAAGCGUGGGGAGCAAAC
rnacentral:rRNA from 1 species